rnacentral:piRNA from 2 species
AUGUGGCUCUGUGGCGCAAUGGAUAG